AUUAAUAAAUUAAGAAUAAAAUAAUUUUAAUUUUUUUAUAAACCACAAUAGGGAUAGGCAAUGGUUACGACAGAUGAGAUAUGCGAAUACGGGAAUCUGUUCAGAGUAUACAACUAAUCAAUGAUACUAUGAAAGGAAUAUUAUAUAACAAUGAGAGUUUGAAACUUACGACUUAACAAUUUCGUAAAUAUUUUAAACAUUGACUUCAAUAUAAGAAAACAAAUUGAGCAAGUUCUCAUUUUCUAAGAGUUGGCGUCCUUAUGUAACGGGAUGUGUUUAAAGGACGUAAAGUUUCACGUCGAAUCUCAGUGAAUCACAUACAACGUAUAAUGCGUGGAAAAAUAACAUACGAUAUAUAGUUAGUGGUUUCAUUUUGAGUAGACAUCUCUACUCCAAAAUCAUUUAUCAUAUUCAUUGAAUACUGUGCCGGAAUAACAACAUUUAACGAUGAUAUCUUCGACUAGAGGCCCCUGGGCACAGUGGCGGAGCCAAAUAGAGGAUGGCCCAGGCCUACCCUGAAAAUUUAGAGUAUGUAGAUACUCUCUGCAAGAUUUUACAAACAUGAGCACGUGGCUCAUUGGCUACUGGGAUUUUGCAAAUACAAAUGACUGGGUUCGAGACUUCUUGGCAUUCCAGCAUUUAUUUUUAUUUUUUUUAAAACUGAAAGAAAAAAAAGUUCUUAUAAUUUGCCUUAUUUUUUACUAUAUUAAAACUAAGCCUUGUUUUUUAACAUAUAAAAACCAUACUCUCUUUUUUGGCUAGUCGAUAUUAAAAAAAUGCAUAUAUAGUCUAGGGCAAAAUCUAAUUUUAAGUCGUAAUUUUCAAUUUUUGUACAAUUCUAAUGUGUUAAUUUUGUUUUAAUCAAAGUUGGUAAACAAGUUUUGUUUUUAUGAUAUAUUCAUUUCAAUACUAGGUUUUUCAUAGAAAAUUUAAAGCUCCACCAUUCUUAUUUGAUUAAAAUUUUUCAUGUCAAUACAAAACACAAAACCUUUAUUUUUUCUCUCAUUAAUUAUAUUUCGAAGGCUAAUCUUUCUAUGGCUUAAAGGCCUUACUGAUCUGGUUUUCUGGCUCUGUGACACGCCCUGAUUCCGAUAUUUCCAGAAUACCAGGAUUGACACGUGCUGGCCGACACCCAAGGGUGACGAAAGCCAUUUAUUGAGUGCAAAUGCUAAAAAUAAGGGGUAGAUAAGACUUAUAAAUAUAAAAGAAUAAUGGAAAUGCAUUUAAGGAACGUGUUCAGAGCAUACAACUAACUAGAAUACUAAAAGAAAUAAUAUAAAAUUGAAUGAAUAAAAGAAUGGGACCUACACCAAAAGGACUCGAAGAUGCCGAUGCGGAAGUGCCUUGACACCGGGAUUG
rnacentral:lncRNA from 1 species